UGUGGUUGCCUUUCUACUAUUGGUAAUACAGUUCAUAGGAAUAGCUAACACACAACCGACUCCACUGCAAUGUAGCUCAACCACCUUAACAUUAAACCAGCUGUAUGAAACGUACAAGUAUCCAAAUUCCGGUUUAUAUCCCCAGUUGACAUCAUGCAACUGGCUUUUUCAAGCAGCUGAUCCAAGCAACAGAAUAACAUUCGAAGUAAAGGAGAUUUUUGUUGAUUGUGGCGACACACUCAAGUUCU